rnacentral:tRNA from 2 species
GCGGGUGUAGUUCAACGGUAGAACAUCAGCUUCCCAAGCUGAGAACGUGGGUUCGAUUCCCAUCACCCGCUCCA